CACGUAGGGCGCAAGCGUUGUCCGGAAUUAUUGGGCGUAAAGAGCUCGUAGGCGGUCUGUUACGUCUGCUGUGAAAACCCGGGGCUUAACCCCGGGCCUGCAGUGGGUACGGGCAGACUAGAGUGCGGUAGGGGAGACUGGAAUUCCUGGUGUAGCGGUGAAAUGCGCAGAUAUCAGGAGGAACACCGGUGGCGAAGGCGGGUCUCUGGGCCGUAACUGACGCUGAGGAGCGAAAGCAUGGGGAGCGAACAGG
rnacentral:rRNA from 1 species